rnacentral:lncRNA from 1 species
CCCAGAGACCAGCAGGGCGCCGUGUGAGUCUUAGGCUGAGUGCUGAGCUGUGCGUGCGCUGAGAACCCACGAAUCCAGACAAAGAUACGAGGGAGGAGCAGCAGCCCUGGGCAGCGUUGGAGAUUACAGAGAACCGGAAGUCAGACUUCUAAACAGUUAUCGUGGGGAUACAUACAGUGUGGAUCCGCCUCAAAAACUUUGUGCCCAGAGCCCACUCACAACUCCUUGGCUCCUAGCUUCUUCUUUUACCUCCGGAGACAGAAGGACGGGGCUAAAGAUCUGCCUUCUCACACUGCCAUCCUGUUCUCCAGUUUCCAUGGUUACAUCUCCUUUUCUGACUUGAACACUCUCCUGCCUCCCACUUUUACUUAGGAAGACCCUGUGGUUAAUUCUGUGCCCAUCAGGGUGAUUCAAGGCCAGCUUCCAUCUCAAGACAAGCUGGGGAGACCCUUGAUUUUCCAUCUUCAAUCUGACAUUAAAUCUGACAUAAUCAC